CGGGACAGGACGAAUACCCGUUGAUCCGAUUCUCUUUCAACGAGUACCUGGUCAGUUGAUGACACGAGCGAGGUAAGUAACCCCUAUUGGUCGCACUAUUUCCAAGGAGAGAGAGAGGGAGAGAAAGGGGCGGGGGGAAGAGAGAGAGAGAGAGAUUCCAAAAACUCAAUUCAGCCAUCUCUAGACUCCAAAGUUCGAAGGUUUGCGCCAACUGCUGCAUUUUUGAGAUCCACUUGGUAUUUGGUAACUUACUGUUGGCCUGGGCCAAAAUUAAGUCACUUUAAACGAGCAGCAGUACGGUUGCCAGUUGCCAAGUGUGCGAUGUACUUCUCAUGGAGCUAGGAAGCCAGACUUCUUUUUUGGCCCCCAUUGGUAGGAAAGAUGAUGAUGCUUUCCAACUCCAAAAUUUUCCGGGGUCACUUGUUUCUUGAGGCCAUUUUAAGGCAAAAUAUGCACCUCACAGUCCUGAUCUUGACCUACA
rnacentral:lncRNA from 1 species